GACUGUCGAGUUAGGCUCUCUCCCUGACCCUAGAUGAGGUGGAAUAGAGAGGAGACACCUGUAUCAUCUCCCCAUAGUGUAAUGGAACAGCUGAUCCUUGUUUAGUCCUUUGUGACUUUUCAUUUGUUGGUCACCUUUUUAUUUCUCUUCAAUCUUGGGUUUGAACUUCAGAGUUUCUUUGCAGCUCUGGUCUUUUCUUCAGGAAUACCUGCAAGUCCUCUUUUUCCAUGAAGGCCCAUGUUUUCCUCUUGAAGAAGGAUUAUUCUGAGUUUUUCUGGUGCUGUGUGAUCCAGGACAAAGCCUGAUUCCUGCACCUCUAGUCUGAGCUCUACAAGUUCCUGAUGGGCAACAAUGGACCGCUACUGGAUGCAGACCCUCUCAGCCAGCUGCUGCUCAGAGGGACAGAACGUUAGGCCUCCCUUUGACUUAGGAUUCCUGCCCUGGUUAUUCCUCUGAAGCCUUCAGUCAGGGCUAAAAGCCAUAACUGAGACUUUGCCCUUCUCCUUGAAUCCGAGCCACUGCAACUGGCUUCUGAACUUGUUCCCCUCUCUCUGUGGACUGGCUUGGGUACGUUGUCACCCCAGAUGCUGGGCCCCACCUCAGUUUACCUUGGAUCUAUGACUUGUCUCUGAGUAGUGGGUAAUAAAGCUGUCCGUGGUGAGGUU